AAGGGAGACCUAAUUCAGGUAUGGGACGAAAAAAAAGUAGUCGCUACCAAGAAUCAAUCCCAAAAGGUCGGAGCGAGGUAUGAGGCUUUCAAACUAGGUUCUGGGUUCAAACAAGACCUGAAUCAGGAACAAGGGCUAUUAGCUCAGGUGGUUAGAGCGCACCCCUGAUAAGGGUGAGGUCCCUGGUUCGAGUCCAGGAUGGCCCACCUGCACAGGUGGUAAAAACAAGAGAAGCGAGGAAUCAGCACCUUAUCUUAUCUAUAUAUAAGAGAGAAUGCUGGCUCUGAGUAAAGAGUCCAGAGGAACCUUGAAAACUGCAUAGAGCUAGGUGAAAAAGCCAAAAAAGAAGACCGCAA
rnacentral:tRNA from 1 species